GGCGGUUAUUUAGGGCCUGAAUAUAGUUAAAUUCACCUAUUAUCAUUGAUUAGUUACGAACUUUUAAAAUUUGUGGUAAAACAAACACAUCAAUUUAUGUGAUUAUAAAUUAUUUCAUUAAAGGUAAAAUGAGAAGUUUAUAACUAAAAUUAUUUUUAAAUAACAAAAUAUAUAUAUAUAUAUAUAUAUAUAUAUCAUUCUUUUUUAGGCAGACUGAAAAAGAAAUUACGGCAUAUAAAUUGGAACGAAAGGAGUAACAUUAUUGUAUUCAAAGAUGACAUCUUGUCAAAAUAAAAUGAUUUAUUGCAUUGUAUGGGCCGUGCAGGGUGAUGGUUCAAGUACUUUGUAGCUACAUUAUUUUGCCUCUCUAUGCCCUCGUUACUCAGUAAUACUACAUCCAAUAACGUUCUUUUAGAUGGGUUCACAUUUCAAAAGAGCAUUGUUGGAAGAACACAUAAUGCAAGACAUAAAGCAAUGGCACGCACAAGUGAAAAAUAAGAAGGAAAAGAAGAGGCUGCAGCAGCAGGAGGGGGCAGGUGCAAAGUUGUCAACAAACAACAGAGUUACCACGGAUCAGUUACCAGAAAUAGAAUUCUCCUCACACAAUAGAGUGCCAACUGUAGCUGAGUUCACUGCUCGUGAAAUUCAUGAGAUCUCAGAAGAACCAGUACAAGUAACCAUAGUCCAUUAAAAUCAAUCAAAAAUAGGUGUCGACGUCGUUAGUCGUAGUCAGUGAUUGAAGGAGAAAGAGAAUAUAAUUUUUAAUUAAUAGAGUACUGAAGGAAAGACUCGAAAUUUUGCACUAGAGCCUAAAAUUGAUUAUA